UACCGCCACAUACCGCCCUCGCUCUGUUCCCCCCCUCCUCCCAUGAAAGCCCUCUCCUCCCCCUUGGAAAGCGACAAAGAUCCCCGAGGAGUUCUCCUUCUCCGCAGCGAUCUUGUCGCCGCCUGGUUCUUUCGGUUAUCUUGGUUCCCGUUGGCGGUGGACGGAACCGCACGGUCCUUCGAUCUCAAGAUCGUGAGGAGAAACUAAUCUUGGCGGCUCCGGAGGCCGCCUCUUAUUGGAUCAGGUAUCCGAUCGGGAAGCGGGUGGAGGAUUGCUUCGCUGCCGUGUUCGAGAUUCCGAAUCUUUCCAAUGGCCGGAGGACCGGUGACCCGACCCAGGAAGAGCACGCUCGGCCCGAGAUUCCUUGCCCCGUUUGUGUUGGUGGUGAGUGCUGAGUGGUGAUGGCAGCUGCAUAGGUUGGUGUUCAUUAGAAAGAGGCAAUGGUAACAAUAAUGGUGGUUGUGAUGCAGCUUUGAAGGUUGGUCAACCAUGUCCAUAAGUAUUCUUUUUCUUGUUGUAGCUUUUCCAAAUUUAAUUCAGGAUCAUUCUCUGCAAGUAAAGAGGGCGGCAACCAAUUUGCAUUGUAUCUUUGACUGCCAAUUAUUAUUGUUUAUAUUCUUUCCAUCA